rnacentral:lncRNA from 1 species
UCAAAUCUCUCCCCCAUUUUCAAAAAACUUUCUUUGCUUGUAAUUCCAAACUUAGACCUUAUUGCAAAAAUAGAAACUUCGGCCUUAUGCCAAUGAUUUUUUUUUAACUCCUUUUUCUUAAAUCAAACUUGUAAAUAAAUCUAAUCAUAUUACUAAAUUUUCAAAAAAAAAAGAACUAAUAACCUCAUCCAAACUUUUGGGCCUUUU